CUAAAAAUACAAAAAUUAGCUGGACACGGUGGUGUGCACCUGUAAUCCCAGCUACUCAGGAGGCUGAGGUGGGGGGAUCGACUGAGCUCAGGAGGCCGGGGCUACAAGGUUGCAGUG